GCCAGUGUGGUAUAGUGGUUUGAGUUUCGGACUACAACUCUGGAAUCCUAGGUUCAAAUCCUAGCUUGGACA